rnacentral:ncRNA from 1 species
UAAUAAAAAUUUAAAAAGAUAAAUAAAUACAAAUAAAUAAAUAAAAUUAAGAGAAGGAAAUCAGGCAGGUAGUGGCCCCUGACACAAUGAGUUUUCCCGGAAUUGGAUUGCUUGGAAAUGCAGCUCAAAGAGUGUGGUAAACUCCAUUGAAGACUAAAUACCAACAUGACACUGAUAAUAAACAAGUACUUUAUGGGAAAGUUUUUUAAAAAUUAUUUUUAAAAAGAGAGAAAUUGUACUGGAGAAAAGAGGAAUUCAGGUAGAAUAAUUCUUUUCUUUUUUUUUUUUUUUUUUUUUUUUUUGAGAUGGAGUUUUGCCCCUGUUACCCAGGCUGGAGUGCAGUGGCGUGAUCUCGGCUCACUGCAACCUCUGCCUUUGGGGCUCAAGUGAUUCUCAUGCCUCAUCCUCCUGAGUAGCUGGGACUACUGGCAUGCACCACCACACCUGGCUAAUUUUUGUUUUUUAGUAGAGAUAGGGUUUUACUAUGUUGGCCAGGCUGGUCUCAAACUCCUGGCCUCAGGUGAUCUGCCCACCUUGGCUUCCCAGAGUGCUGGGAUUACAGGCAGAGGCCACUGUGCCUGUCCUGAAGAACAA